AUGAACGUUGGCGGCGUGGAUUAGGCAUGCAAGUCGUGCGGGAGUAGCAAUACUCCAGCGGCGAAAGGGAUAGUAACACGUAGGUACCUACCCUCGGGUUCGGGAUAGCUUCGGGAAACUGAAGGUAAUACCGGAUAACGUCUCCGGACCAAAGGUGUGAUUCCGCCCGGGGAGGGGCCUGCGUCCUAUUAGCUAGUUGGUGAGGUAACGGCCCACCAAGGCAACGAUGGGUAGCGGGUGUGAGAGCACGACCCGCAUCACUGGGACUGAGACACUGCCCAGACACCUACGGGUGGCUGCAGUCGAGAAUCUUCGUCAAUGGGCGCAAGCCUGAACGAGCGACGCCGCGUGCGGGAUGAAGGCCUUCGGGUUGUAAACCGCUGUCAGUGGGGAGGAAAUGCCGGGGGGUUCUCCCUCCGGUUUGACCUAUCCGCAGAGGAAGUACGGGCUAAGUUCGU
rnacentral:rRNA from 1 species